GCCCUCUCAUCACAUGCUAUGCAUAUGACUUAUAACUGUGAUACUAACCUUGACCACUUUGUUCAGAUGGUAUUUGUCAAACUUCUACACUCUAAAGCUACUCUUUUUCACCUUUUCCAUACAGUACUCUUGGGCAGGAUGUUAAUUCGGAUGUGCAAUCCAAACUAACAGAGUAGGGAGUUACGUUCUAUUUCCUUGAGGACAGAAUAUCUACAUAAAUUAUGUGGAAUUCUUUUUGGAUGAACAAUUUGUCUUUUUUAUCCAAUUUAUUUUUUUUAACCAAUCCUAUUUUCGUAUAGCCAUUUGCAGUCAUAAAUAUUUAUUUUAUACUUUGGGUUAUGAUCAAAUACAACUGUAUUUACUUUGUUGCUCAAAUCAUUUCAGCUUUGGCUAGGCCAUUGGGAGAGUUUUAAGUUGGCUCCUGUAUUUCUUUGAUGUUCUCCAUCAUUGUGGCCUUUUUAGGGUCUUUUUGUUUAGUUGUUUUUGCCUUUUUUUUUUCUUUUUGAGAGCUUCCUUACUUUCUGGCACGGUAAGAUGCUCCAGGGUCAUUUUAUAUAUUUCUUGCUCUAGUCCUAGAAUUAGAUGUUCCUCCAAGGAGUGCUGGUUUCUUUUAUUGCAGAAUGGUAAAACACAAAACAAAACAGCAAGAUCUGAAUCCUAGGUGCUUAACAUUUUACGAAGCCGUUGGUAAUUUAUAAUCAGUUUUUCCUAAAAAAAAUGAGCAACUUUCCUGAACAUUUUCCAGGUGACACAUUUACACAUGGUAAAAUCUGAAGAACAUCUGGGAUUUUUAGCUUGGCAUUCCUAUCAAUGGCAAUCCAGGUGUACAAUAGAAAAUGUACCCAAGCUAGGCAAAGAACACUUUUCAUAACCUUUUUUCGUGUAUGUGAUGUGAGUCAGAUAUGAAAGACAGCAACUGACUUGAAGGUAAUGUUAUUUAUGUUACAUUAUAAACAAUGGAUGGCAUCACCAACUCAUGAAUUUGAGCAAGCUCUGGGAGAUGGUGAAAGACAGGGAAGCCUGGCAUGCUGCAGGGCAUGGGGUCACAGAGUAUUGGACGUGACUGAGUGACCAAACAGCAACAUGUUACUUAUAUUAUAUCACACUUUCCAAAAGUCAUGUUGGUAAAACAGAAAGGAAAAUGUGUUGGUCCCCUGCCCCACCUGCCUGCCUCAGAACCCUAAAAUCAUUCGAAAAAUUUCUUCUAAAAACUUAAAAAAUGAUUUUUUUUAAGGUAAAGUUGGACUAGGCCAAGUGGAUAUUUUACUAAAACAUUCCACUGGAGUCUUAGAGGAAAAAAGGGAGGUACUUCUUCCAGUUAUGGGAGCACUAAUGCAAACCAGUUUGGUAUUUGGUUGAUUCGUUUCUAGUUUAAUACAGCAGGACCUCAUUCUAGCCCCGCCCUGUGCUGGGUUGGGUAAUUCUGCUCCCUUCAUUUUGGCCAUUCCAGUGUUUUCCACAUCUGCCCUCCCCACUCCAUCCUUCUUUCUAUAGCUGGGGCGUAUCUUCAGUCUUCAUAUGCAUCUUGCUCCCACUUACACUUAACUCGCCCCUUAACUCUUCAGUUUUUGGUCAGUUCUUGAGACCAUGAUUUAAGCCUAUACUAUUUCAGACUCUUACUGAGCUUUUGAAACACAGCCUAAGAAAUGGUGAAUUACUCAACUACAUGUGGUAUAUCAAGCCUACAUUUGGGAGUUCUAUAAUCUUGCCAAAGAUUUUAAGAAAACUGUAACCUGUGUUCUCAUCUUUUCCUCUCUCCUGAGACAAUAUAUUUGAAUUAACAUAUAUCUCUUCUCAUUUUCUCUCUUUCUUUUCCUCAUCAUAGUAUCAUUUAAUCCAAGAUUGCACCCAAACCAAGGCUGUUUACACAAAAUCCCUGAGAGGGGAUUGUUUACCACCUACUCAAACAUCGUCAUUGCUUGGAACUCAUUUCUUUGUGAAGUUUGCUGUUUCAAUUUUGGACAGAUCAGUUUAUGGAAAACUGUCCUUCAUACUGAAAUGAAAUUUAUCUUAUCAUCUGUACCCAUCAUUCCUAGAAUCAAAUGAGGCACUAUAUGUAGAAACUUUUUAAGAAAGCAAAACCCUGAAUAAAUAAAAAGUAUAUUAAUAUCAAUUCUACUAUGUAGAGUUUGCAACUUUGACAAGCAUUAAUGUCUUAUCCAAGCCAUGGGAAUGUGAAUGUGAGAAUAUGGCAAAGGAUGCUCUUCACAGGUUUCUGAAAAGCUCCCUCCAAUUUCACACUAAUCCAUUAAUCACUGUUUUUUAAACUGUUCUAUUUCAGCAAUAAAAGACAAAGGCCAAGCUAAGCCAAGAGCUAGAAAAUAGAAACAAAGUCAAAACAAGAAAAAAACGAACAAAACAGAACAGAACCCAAGACUGAAGCCCAUCAGAAGCCAGAAAAAGUAGGAGGCAGUUGAUAAGACUGAAUCAUCUCUGCUGGCUAGGACACUUUGGUCUCUGAGAUCAGUGGAGGCAGUGGUUUCUCUGCUGUCUGCUUCAGAAGUAUUUCUGCUUCUCUCCUCAUGGUCAGAGAGAUCUUCAGAGUACUUGAGAAAUUGUUCCAGUUUGAGCCCAUCAAAUAAGCAGCAGCACUGGUUUGGAAAAAAAGAAUCCCAAUUGAAGGCUUGAGAAGAUUCCCAAAUUGACUCUCCAAAGGUCAUUUUGAAAGCUGUCCUUAAGGCUUGGUUGGGUAUGCUUUGCUUCCAAGCUGAGCUAUGGAUGAACUAUCCUGCCAGCAGUCCUGGAUUUGGGAGUCAAGAGAGGCCAAGAACAGAGCAGGGCAGGACUCCACGUCUGCUGGUGUCCACAAGACACAUUUGGCAAGCACUCCCAAAUCCAAACUUUCACAGAGCGUCAGAAAUCACUGGAAGCCAUGGGUUCCUUCCGAGUUCUCUCUCUUUGCUGAUACUGUUCGCAACCUCCAAGAGCCAGCUAGACCAGAGACUUUGGAAUUCUCUUCAAUCCCCCUUCCUCAUCCACUCACACAUGGUACACAGUACUUUAAAAGGAAGAAAAAUUUAUAAGACCUUUGACUGACAACCUACAAAAGCAAAAGCUGAGUAAGGAUACCAACACUUGAAUCCAAGGAUAAUGGAAAAAUAACAUCUGACUGGAAUAAAUGGAUAUAUAUAUAUAUAUAUGCCAUGCUAGCAUGUGAGUAGAGUAGAAGCAAAUUAGGUUGAUCCACAGAAAAGCAAAUAAGGGUUCUUGGAAAAAUAUAGGAACUGAAGAACUGGUAGUUCUGGCUGACCUGAGUGUAAAAUGCUUCAUUAAUUUUGCUGGUAAAUUCUUUUCCUGGCAAUCUGGUUCUCUGGGUCUGCUAUUUACCAACUGUGUGGUCUUGAGGAACUUUGAUUCUUUGAGUCUCAAAUUUCUCAUAUAUAAAAUGGAGUGAGAAUGCUAUUCUACCUACUUUAUCAGUUUCAACUUUCAAAAAGGGGAAUAUGUGAUAGCAUAGCUUUAGCUUGGUCAUAGCAUUUCCAUGAAUAAGUGAGGGUAAAAGGGAAAUGCUGAUUGUGUGGUUGCUUGUCAUGUUUUAACUAAUGUAAAAUUUUAGAACCUACGAUUAAGCUUGAACUCAUCAUUGAGGUAAUGCUUUGUGUUUUCACAUUAAAAAUUAAUGAUUACCUAAAAUAUUGAGUGAAUGCUUUCCUUAUCAAAAUUCUGAAAUUGUUUUACUGCAUUAGUCCAAGUCAGCAAUGUAAUUAUGCAGGCCUUUGUAGUUUGUUUUUGAAGAUUAGAAUUCAUCUUAUGAGUAGUUUGUUAGAAUUCAUAUCACACACAAAGUAGAACAUUUUAAGGUAAAAUAAGUGUUUGAACUAAAUGAAUUUGUUUAUACUCUUAACUUUUUGGUACCUGACAUUGUAAAACUGUAGUUUAAUUGACGGUGUGAUAUUAAUAUGCUUGAAGUGACUUUAUAGGAAUUUGAUUGCUAUUAUAACUACAAUUAUAAACAGUAACAAGCCAGAUAACAGAGAGCUUUUGGGACGAGCUUUCCAAGCAAAUAAGAACACCUGGUCACUCAUUGGGUGUAAUUUGAUAUAAUAUAGGAAUGUUAACUUUCAUAUAACUGGAUUUAAAUAGCUUUUGCCUAUACUUGCUUCACUUAAUAUUAGUGAUUGAGAAAUAUUUCCUGGCUAAGUAAUUGAUAUAUGAAUGAUACUUACUAGAUUUGUAGAAGGUAUUUGAAAUAUCUUAAACUCUUUGUUUAUUAUCUCAUUUAUAGUUUUCAUUUUUUCAUAACCAGGUAGAUAAAAUUUGUUAAAUAUUGUAAACUUUCCUUUUCACAUCUAAUGAAAUCAUACUCAGGAAGAAUCUAUUUAAAGUCAUUUGUGAAAAGAGGUGUGAAUAGUUGGUUCUAUAAAUAAAGGUUUUACAUAUUUUGAAAUAGGAUAUGAUACCAUCAAAAAUCACAAGAACUGUCUGGAAAUGUAAGGAAUUUUAAACAAGCAGUUACUUGUUUUACAAAGUUCAUUCAAAUAUGUAUCCACCUUUCUUCAUCCCAGGCAAUUUUCUGCAGAUCUCUUCCAACUAAUAUUAAGUUGUAAGUGCUGAGCUAAAUGAAUUUAUCUAUGCUGUCAUCUUUGGGUACCUGAUGUUAUAAACCUGGAAAUCUAAUUGGAAAUAUGAUAUCAAUAUGCUAUCUUUAGGAGUUUGAUUAUAUGACUUAUUUUAUGAAGCAAGAACUAAUAAAAUUGCUAGUUAUUUUAAUCAAGAACCAUUUGAAUGCUUAUAAAUUAAAGAUAUUUAGAUGUCAAGGCAAUAAAGCCUGUGAAAUGAAAUGGACCAGAUAACUAUUUAAAAGAAUUCCCAUCUGUCAAGUUGCAUAAAAUAACACAGCCUAGAAAUGAGGAUUAAUUUUCUCUCAGAUAACAUGUUAUCUUGUUUUAAUGUGAUUAAAAAUCCCCACUGGGUCUGAUGCUAAUCUCUCUUCCAAAGGCGUGGAUCUUAUCAAGUUUGGAGCCAUUCUGGAAAUAAGAGAGUACUCUACAGAAGAACUCUCAAGAGCCAGUAUCAGUUUUUAUAAUCUGUUUCUGGGCUAAUGAGAGAGUGGUUGAGUUUACACAGAUUAUCACUUGUGGCUGUCUCAUCAACUUGACAUUGAACAGGAAGAGAAUUCAAAGCUCAAGGAGGCUCAGACAAGGUCAGACAGGUAGAAACUGGGAGACCAUUUUUUUAGUGGUUUACCUUAAAAUGCUUUAGGUUUUGGUUUUUGUUUUUUUUAAUCUUAUCAUCUCCUGAUGUCCCUAAAACUUCCUUCUCUAGCUUAGAGGCUUACAUUAUAUAAAGAGUCUUUGCUUUUAAAAAUUCAAUAUGUUAUUCAUCAAACAAACAUUUAUUGAGUAUCUGUUAUGGACCAGUUACUGUGCUGAAGGGGCUGGGGAUGUAACUUUGAGUGAGGACCAGGAGCUGCUUUUCCUUCUGAGGCUCACAUAGCGGUGAAGUGGGCAUUAACCUGAAGGACACAGAGGCAGGGAGGACGCUGAAAGUGUCCUUCCUCUUUAAAUGCUUCUUGUCCCUGCAGCCUUUGGUUAUGAUGCUGCCUAUGUUUAUGUCCUCCUGUCACUUUAUAUUUGAAUGAAUAUCCAUCUAUGCAUUCAUUAUUCUUUCAACGAAUGUCAUUUGAGUGACUCCAUCAUCUUUCUAACAAUUGAGUGAUAGUCUUGCUCUCGGGCAUCUUAUGGUCUAGUGUGGGAGAUAAUAUACACACAUAUACAUAUGAUGAUGCCAUGCCAUUCAGAGUUAUGGAAGUUCAGAUAAAGGGGGGAUGAUUUCCAGUUGAUAGGGUCAAGCAAGGCUUCAUGGAUGAAGAGCUUGUAAAUGGAGCCUUAUGAUUAGUGAGAUUAUGAACAUAGGGCAAAAAGAGAAAAGUAGUUCAGGUAAAGGACAAGAGAACAAAGGCAUAAAAUUGAAAACCCAGAGAAUCAACAGAGCAAGGGUAAGCAUUCAGUUUGGACUUAUUAUCUCAGUUUUGAUGGAUUAGUUGGGAAGAGAAAAGAGAUAUAAAGAAGAACAUUAAAAGCAACUAAUAGUUACUUGCUGCCAAGGGCCACUGCAAAAUCCUCAGGUAUUUGGAAGCUUCCUUGAAUGAGACACACUUUGAAACUCUAGAUCUUCUGCAACCACCCACUCCAUGGUGCUGUUCCUCUAAGUUCCAAUUCUCUUACACUACCUAGAUAUUUAGGAAUGUACCGCAUUAGACAUGACAGAUAUUGGGGCCAAAUACUCAACAAUAGUUGGAAACAUGUAACUUGGAAAGACAUGUCUUCAUUUUGAAAUUGAAUUCCAGACAAAACUUUUGGGAUUUCAGGGCUGGUUACAAAGGUUGAACUUGUAUGAAGUUCAGCAAAGUUCACUUCUAGGGAUCCUGGAGAGAAUUAGGUGUAAAUCAGAACCAGUCGAGGUGGCAGUCUGCACGCACACAUUCAUCGGUACAGACAGACUUGCCCCAGUCUUCUGUAGCUUUAGAUGGAAACCAUGUGAAAUGCCUUGACAAUGCACAGCUUUGGCUGGAAGCCUAGCCAGUUCAGUGCCUUCCAUUUGAACCUGAACUUACUGCAGGGUCCAUAUCCUGCCCACAGAAAAUAAGAAGCUUGAAGCAGUAGGUGGGCCCAAACUAUUGAUUGUCCUUCCUGCCCUGACCUACAUUCUGUAAAAUUUAUGACAAUGUGAUCACCUCACAUUUCCAUGUAAGUUAGAACAUGAAAGGGGAAGCUGAACCUGCUGGGGCUUCCAUGAUUGGAUUUUUCCAGUUGGCAUCAAUUUCUGUUCCUAGAUAGAAUUAUGACAAAAAGAAAAGAAUGGUAGGGAGCCAAUAUUGUCUUACUGUAACAGGAUCUGUUUCAUUGAAGGUCAUCAAUUAUGUUAGCAUUUUGAUCCACCUGUAAAAUGUAUACUUUUUGAAUUUUGAAUUGUUUGGUGAGUGGUAUUUAACUUAAAAAAGAAUCAGAGCUGUGCCUACUAAUGCCUUCAGUGCACUUUCCCUGGUUAAAGAAAUCUAAAAACUUCAGCAUUGCUGUCUUGGGACUUUUCUCCUUUAUACAAGUCAAAGGUGCAAAUUUUAGACACAAAGACAUGCUGAUGUUUCCUAUUAGAAUGUGCUUGAAUAACUGAGGUGAUGUUUUGGUACAUUGUUUAAGAAUAUUAGACAGAAAGCUGUGUGCAGUAUGGCUUAAUGUAUAUUUAUCAUAGCAACUGAAAAUAUAUCUAAGCUUCAUAUUGUCACUCCCUAUACAGUACAAUAAAAAGUUACUGAGUCCUAAA